CACUAAGCCAAGGAAAAACACUGUGCUGUGCACUUCCCUACAUCUUUAUUACAGUAACGCGCAACUAUGCAUCGCCACAUGGGUGGAGCUGUUGGGAAUCUGUUGUGAGUCUUAUCCAUUGUUGCACCAGUGCAACAACAGGUUUAGCUUAUUUAGCGGUUCAGGUGCUGAUGGGUGAUUUAGUGACUGGGGAAAGAAGUCCUUUAGAGAUGAAACAUGUGUCCAACUGUUUAACACACUUUUCAGUGAAUUUUUCCCCCCCCCACACGCACCAUUUAGAUCAAACGGUGUUGCCAUGAUAAGCCCAAUUUAACUCAUUGGCCAAAAACUAGCAUUUCGCUAAAAUUGUAAGCACUUACCAUAUUGGGCUCAUGCUAAAGUUUGUAGCUUUAACAAUAUAAUGUUUAGUCAACCUGAAUACUACAUUAAUAUAAACUUUGGGAUGGAGGCUCAGAGUUUGUCGGUCCUUGAAAGGCAUUCCUUUAAUUAAAUAUAUGUACAUAUUGAAAUUCUGAGCAUUCUUCUGCAUGCAAUCUUAAAACUAUCAUAACUCCUGCUAUUAUGCUAUGAUUUUCUAAAUCUGCUCUCAUUUGCUUGGUUUUCUUGUCACGGUUUCUCUGCAACUGCAUGCAGUUUAAUAUCAUUUAGCAUUUAUUGUCUACAUUGUGCAUGCCAUAUUUCAUAUCCUGCUCUCCCUACUCCUCUGCCUUCUCCUGUGCUGAUCAAAAUAAUCUGCAGCGUUUCUUGCACAGAGAGAGAAGACUCACUCAGCAACACUCAGCUGUCAGCUACACAUAAAUCUUACGAGAAGCACUGUACACCAAGCUGAAAUUGAAGUGCCCCUCGGUGCCCCAGCUAGGAUGCCAGCCUACCAGAGGGAUGCCAGUGGGGUAGCUGUUACACUCUACACUUCAGUGAUCUGUCCCGUUGCCGGGCAGAUUUUGAAACGGCCAUCUAUGACGCCAGUGCAAUCUUAGCAAUCAGGGUUGGGCUGUAGUCAUAUUAAGCUACUGCUGCUGCAUGUAAGUUUGUGUGAAUGUGUCUGUAUGGGGUUGUAGGGGUGAAAGAGGGGUGCAACCUGACCCCUUUCCUUCUCCUACUUGGUCUCUCGCUCUGUGUCUCACGCACAUGCACACACACUAGGACAGCUGCCAUACUAGGGGCCUCUCCCAGUGCACCAGAGGAAAAGGCUAAAGCUAAAAGAACCCUUUCCCCUCAUGUUUCAGACGCUUUUUCUUUCUUCUCCAUCUCUCUUACUUUUUUUCCCUUCAGGUGGCUCAACAUUUUAAAUCCUGCAAAGCUCCCUGGGGUCAACAAAUGCUCCUGCUCCCCCAUCUCUCACUGCUUCCACCUCCACCAAGCCAAAGACUGGAGACUUCAAUCGGAGCUGAAUUCAAAUACAAAUCGUUGUAUUCGUCGACAUCAUCUCACAGAGCAUCACCUAAAAACAACAGCUUUUCUCCAAAGCGAAACAAAAUAUGCGACAACAGGUGAAGCGAAACACCUCAAGAAGCUGUAAGCAGCGCUUCGGAGCGAACCAUUGCAAGCGCCAUCUCAGGCUCCUUUCCAGCGCUCCCAGAGGACCCCAGACGGCAGGCUGGCUCUCGACAGGCAGGCGGCCAGAGAGGACGCCUGACCAUAACCCAGAUGACGUGCGAUGGAUGUGGUGGGAAAAGGGCGGGGUGGAGGAAGUAAGGGUACUUUAAAGGGUAAAGAGGAGGAGUGGGGGUAUUAAAUAUCAACAGACAACUCCCCGAAA